GGAUGAAUCUUGCGCAAUGGACGAAAGUCUGACGCAGCAACGCCGCGUGAGUGAUGAAGGUCUUUGGAUCGUAAAGCUCUUUCGGGAGGGAAGAAAUGGUCAUGUGCUAAUACCACAUGGCCUUGACGGUACCUUCAGAAGAAGCACCGGCUAACUCUGUGCCAGCAGCCGCGGUAAUACAGAGGGUGCAAGCGUUGUUCGGAAUCAUUGGGCGUAAAGCGAGUGUAGGCGGUCGAAAAGGUCGGGUGUG
rnacentral:rRNA from 1 species